rnacentral:rRNA from 1 species
UGGGCAACCUGCCCCUCUCUCUGGGAUAACCCCGGGAAACCGGAGCUAAUACCGGAUACUCCGGCUGGAUCGCAUGGUCCGGCCGGGAAAGGUCCGCCGGAGAGGGAUGGGCCCGCGGCCUAUCAGCUUGUUGGUGGGGUCAUGGCUCACCAAGGCGACGACGGGUAGCUGGUCUGAGAGGGCGACCGCACACUGGGUACGUAGAGACGACGGCCCGACGACUCCUACCGGGAGGGCA